UUAAAUGAAUACAAAAAUAAACUUACAAUAAGCCAUUUUCUACAACCUGUUAUAAGCAUACUUAUGAUUGGUUUGUUAAAGUAGAAAAUAUGAAUACUUUUAUAACCGUGUGUUAAAAACGGUUAAAAUAGUAAUUGUAUUUGCAAUAACACUUGCAAAACAUUUGCUAGAAUAAUAUAUUUGCAAAUGCGAUUACAAAUGACUUAUGUUCGCAAGAUUUAUAUAAGAAUUUUCGAAAUAACAUUUUCAAACUGAGCUUCAAAAACGGUUAGCAUUGCAACAAUAUUUGCAAUAACACUUGCAAUACACUUUGUCAGAAUAUUAAUUUUGCAAAUGUGAUUGGAAAAGACUUAUGCUCGCUAUAAUUUUACAAAUGUCUUUGCCAAGCAGGGUUUUAAAAACGCGUAGCAUUGUAACUGUUUGCAAUAACAUUUGUUAUACAUUUCGUGCGAACAACAAUUUCGCAAAUGUGUUUGCAAACGACUUAUGCUUGCAACAGUUUUACAAAUGUUUUGUAAAUUGUAUCCCGUUAUUUUAACAGGAGUGUUUUGCAAUAUUCUGAUUUACUUCAUUCUCCGAGUUUUAUUUGAAGAGUGAAGAUUAAAAAGUGCCCAAUAAAAAGUGAACGGUUGCCAAAACUCCAAAUUUUACAAAAAACUGUUGGCGAAAGCUACUAGUAGACGAACUGGCGCAAAAGAUGUGUUGGAAGGGGACAGAGGAGAAAAAAAGUGUACGCAGCCUCAGUUCAGCAAAAGCAAUAAGAAAUGCAGCAAUUUCUAUUGGAUUGAGCGAGGAUGAAUAUAUAAAAAGCACAAAAUCUUUUUUCCAGUUCGCGAAAAAUAGGCAAGAAUCAAAACAAAAAUAUACUCCAAAGACAAAAAACAAAAAUUAAUUUUUUUCUUAUGUUAGUAAUAUACCUUAUAUUAAUAAUACACCUGAUAAAAAUGUACAAAAUAAAAAUUAAACUAUAAAAAAUAAUAAAAUUAAAAGGUUUAUAAAACUAUUA